UACCCACCCCAGGCCCUUCCCAUGAAGUUAGUUCCUGGCCCAUGUUCCCAGAACCCCAGCCUCUGUCUGCUCACCCUUCCCCCUGCCCAGCUGGACAGGGAUCCCAAACUUCAGGGCUAACAGCUGCCUUCCGGUCUGCCUGGGUUUCACUUAAGGAACCUUUCUUCCUGUCUCAGGGCCCCAGUGACUGGCUGCAGGCUGGAAACCGCCUAAUCUCCAGCAAACAUGCCGGGUGGGGCAGGGCCCCCUCCCUUGAGGAGGCACAGGCCAGGGCACCCGGAUUCAGAUAGCAGGCUUGGAUGUGCAGCCCCCAGGAGCUGGCAGCAGGGACUAACGAGGUUGGUCAGAGUCCAACCUGCAGCUAAACCUUUGGUUACUAUGGAAAUGAGCCACCCAGGGGCAACAGACAGAAUCCCUGGCUGCUCCCAGGCCCAGUUGGGGCAGGCACCUGCUCUUGCUGUGGGGAAAGCCAGGGAUGGCCACUCUGCCCUGGACAGCCUGUUCCAGGGCAGGGCAUCUUUCAGGCCUGCACCCCUCUGAAGAGUGGGACCAGAGGAAGGAAGGAGGCCUGAGCCUCCUCAGCUCCCAGGCCUCUGCAUGGAGCCUGGGUUGGAGAGUUCUGGUUUGGAGGUCUGCUUGCCUGGCAUCUCAGCACAUGCCAUCCACUGUCCUGCACUUGUGCCCUGGGGGCCCCACACUGCCAUUCAGCCUCACCUCCGCCCUGUUGGAACCCGGACAGGCUCUGGACCACUGUCUGCUCCCUGCGCACCGCUGAAGACCAGCUGUGGCACCUGGAAGUGUGUCCUCACCUUGAAGCCCACCCUUUUGCCUUCUGGAGUCUGGAGGGGUGUGUCCGUCUGGGGGACGCGGGGGAGGGGCUGUGCAACGGGGCAGGAUUAGAAGGGUGAGGCUAUCCUGGGCCUUCAGAGUUUUCACUAUAGUUUCUUAACCCUUUUGGAUGGAAGGAAAUUCUCAGGAAGCUGCGACACCCCCCUCCGAGUGGAGGAAAAUUGCAGAGGCAGCUGUUUCUGGGUCAUCUGCCUCUCAGGGGUGAGCGUGCCUGAGCUCCACUGGGGCAGGACACUGAGGUGGCCGUCCAUGGUGGAGCCACACGAGACAGGUGCAAGGUCCAGGGCUUGCAGGCUGGAGAAGUCGCAGGCAGGCCCCUGGAUGGUCUGUAGGUGAACCACACCCUUGCUAUUCAGAGAGUGGUCCACGGACCAGCAGCAGCAGCAUCUGGGAGCCUAUUAGAUGCAAGACUUCAGGUCCCAGCCCAGACCCCUAGAUAAGAAUCUGACAGGAUUCUCACUUACCCAGGGGACAUUCAAGUUUGAGAAUAUCCCAACCUGGCAUCUGGGCCACUGUGGGCUGGACCUGGAGAUCCUGGGUUGACUCACGGAAGCUGGAAGAGACUCGAGGUUCCUGCAGGUGCAGCUUGGGCACUCUGACAUCCGGGUCUGGAUUGUCCUGUGUACUGUGGGAUGAUGGCCCAUGUCCGGGCCCCUUCUCGCUAGUAGAUGGGAGUAGCACCCCCAGUGUGACAGCCAAAAAUGACUACAGACGUGGUGAAAUGUCCUCUGGGGGCAAAGUCUCUCCAGUGCAGAGGCCCCGCCCUGCCCCAUGGUUCCCUAGCUGCCUGCAGAGCAGACAGAACCCCCUGGGAGCUCCUAGGCCCCUUGGCAUCAGAACCUCUGGGGAGAGGCCCUGACAUAAUUUCAAACAUUCCCCAGAAUACUGGUGAUCAACUUGUGAAUACACUCGAACCACUCGAUCAUACAAAGGACAAACUGCAGUGUGUCCCUUUGGUCAUAGUUGCUAUUAAGAUAGCUCCUGGCGGGGGGGGGGGGGUGGGAGAGUUGGAUGGAGCUGCUCAGCACAAGCCCCUCAUGGCAGCUGGGAGCCACCAGAUUCCUGACCCUCGAGCCUGCAGUGCACAAGGGUCCCGGCGGUGCUUGAGGCAGCUUUUCCAGAGGAGGGACCAGGAAUCUGAUUUUAACUAAGUGCCCCAAGGCACCGUGGGAACCAGAGCAGGAAGGGGCAGAAGGCAGGGCUGGAGCUUUCCCACCCCCCAAGUCUGAGCAUCUCCCAGGCAAGCAGAGGGCGGCGAAAGGGGGUGGAAAACUCAAGAGGAGCCAGAGGUGGCCCAGCUGGAUGCCACGUGCCCCAGAACACAGACCCUGGAACUUCCUCAACUCCCCGAGCCUGGAGGUUUGGAAGCAAGACUGAAGGAGGCAGGAAGCACCCACUGCACGUUCAGGUAUAAACUGGCUAAAAAGCAAAGGUGCCGACAUCCAUAUGGCACAGACCCACGUUUACAGCCGUCCUCAGCUGUCUUCCUCAGGCACCUCCUGGGAGCUGCCUCAGCAGGAUCCAGAGCCUCGUCCCCUCAGUCCAGCUUCCCUGGGCUUCCUCUCCUGUUACCUGACCGCCAGACCUGAGCUCCAGAUGACUUUGUUUCCAAAAUUCCACUCUAAAAAACACCAUUUGCAUCCAUGAUCCAUGAGGCGGCUGGAAAGAAUGUGACCAGGGUUGUGCACUGCUCCUUUCUGAAGGGGAAAGUGGCAGCUCCUGGGAACGGGGCCUGGCCUCCUGGAGUGGGGGUGGCCCUUCAGGGCUGCUGCCGAAGGAUCGGUGUGGCCCCUCGGGGGCUUGCAGACUCACAGGUCCUGGAUAUACGUGGCUGGGCUUACACUGUUUUUUGUCUUAUCUGCCAGCAUUUUAAAAUCGGGAGUGUACAUGAAAAGCCUCCCUCUGGCUCACCUUGGCCAAGUUCCCUUAAGGCCGCAAGUGACUGAAGCUGACCACCCGAGAGGGGACACAGCCCAGCCUGUCCCUGACCGGCAGCCACCCUGCCAACCACCGCGGACACGUAUGUGUCCAGCUCCCAUCUCGGGAGUCGGUUGCCAUCUCUGAAGGGGUCUGCUCUGCUCUGGAAGGAAACGCCUUGCCACAUGGAGUGGAGGAGGGCUCGGGGUGAAACGGGGCUCUGAAAUGCUUUCUGUGGGCAGGCAGGGCUCCUCCUUCAGGGCGUCAAAGAGAAGGGCUUGUUCUGAGAUUCCCUUGGUCGAAGGUGGAUGGUCCCGGGCCUGCUGAGAGUCCCCUGGGGUCUCUGAGAACACCCUGGCCAGCUGCAGACCAUGCUGUCCCCGAGCCUGGCCCGCAGGCCCAGUGGUGGGCGGCGGCCGCAGUGGCCCUGGAGGUCUCCCAGGGCUUUUCAGAGCAGGACUGACCUGAGGACAGACCAGGGCUUUGACUCCGGUUAGUGCCGGCGUCGGCUUCUGGCAGGCCGCCUGCGAUGGCCAAGAGGAGAGCUUUUGAGGCAAGGCUGGUUCCAAUUCCUGCCUUUGGGAAGGUCUCCAGUUGCUUAGCCACAGCUCAUGUUUGGGAAUGUAUGUAUUUCGAGUAAGUCUCACAAGAACAAAGCUCUUUUAGGGGUGUGGGGGCCCGGGUCCUUCUGGGAAGAGUGGGGAAGGGCCCACCUCCUGGACGCCCGAGGUGCUGGGGGCCUGUGGGCAGAGUUCUGCUCUGCUUUCUGGGACCAUUUCUCACUUCCUGGAGCCUAAGAGCUGCAAAUAUUGGGGGACUCCUUUUCUGCAGCUCCUGGGGAAGCCACGAGCAAGAGGAAGAAGGGGAGAGAGAAGAGAAGCCCUUCUCUGGAGGUUGUGUGUGUCUGGAGGGCUUCUGUCUGGAGCUCCCAAAUCCAUGGAAGGCAGGGGCAAGCCAGCCAAGGUGGUGACAGGAGGACCUAGUGUCCCUAAGAAGUCCCUGCACAGAAGACCCUUCCUUUAGUGCGUCCACUGUCACGAGUACGGGUGCUGCCUUUCGCCAAGGCAGAGCAUCUGUUUGGAACGCUUUCAUCAGUAGUUUAUACUUUAGGGUUAAGGAGUUUGUGGUCUUUGAGAGGAAAAAAUAUUCAGUAACCCUUACAUUUGCAUCAGCGGGUUGUGGGGCUGGGUUUGGGGGUGCAGUCACUACACAGCAUCUCUAUCCCAGCAGCACCUGGAGGCAGGACCCUCUGGUUGGCAGGAGGCAUCUCAUUCAUGCGGUCCCCUCGUAUCUGGCCAGCCCAUGUGCCCCUCUCUCCACACGACCAAUGCAUCUCGAUCUUAAGAUGGAAAGUUCCAGGGAUUCCCCUUCACUCUGAGACGGGACAGGACAGCUGGUCACCCUAUUCCCUGUCCAGCCUGGCCCUGCUGCCGCGUCCCAGGCCAGGAAGAGCUGUGGCCCCCCCGCAGCAGAGGAGGAGGGUGGGCCAGGGCUUCCCCCAGUUCCCACUCCUACUGGCCCCAUCCCUAGUUCUGUCCUGCUGGGGACGGUGGGGUGGGUCACCCUCCAGAGGCAGCAGCCCAGGAGCAGGUGCAGUACCUCCCUGCCAGCUACCAGGGCCAGGAGCCCCUCCGCCUGGAAUCGGGAAGGGGGUGUUCUGCCUGUGUCCCUGGCAAAGUCUGUGUGGAACUCCCACCUGGGACCAGGCCAAAGACUGGCUUCCCCACCCACCUUACGGGGGACAGAACUGCCAUCUUAAGAUUGCCCCCGGCUGUAGCUGGGUUUGCGAUCACCCCCCUUCCCGAGUGCCCCGGAGGCCUGUCAGGAUGCAGAUGGUCAGUGACCCACCUGGGUUCACGCCUCGCUCCCUGGGCUGCAGGAACCCACUCACCACUGAUUCCGCGGGUGGACCUAGGCAAUGGGCUGAAAGGCAGCUCCGAGGGGCUGAGGGCAGGGCCUGGGUGCCUGUGGUCCCACACAUGUCAAGGCUUCAGGAGACAAGCCUGGCCACACCUGGCACAGGAUCCCCUGCCUCUGACUGCCGAGCCCAGGCAGCACCUCCCUUUCCUGCCAUGGGAGAGAUGACAUGCCUGUGGGCAGCACCUGCUUCCUGGGCAGGUGGCCAGAGAGCUGAGACCUCACUGUGUGACCCUGGGCAAGUCACACGACUGCCCCUGCCCCCAGCUCCUGACCUGCCCGCCCCGUAGGACCAGGGCAGCACAGGGCCCUCUGCCACGGCGGGACGUGUGACGAGGAGGGGAGGCCUGCUGCAAUUCUCUGCAGAGACUCUGACUCAGGGGUGGUGGCCCAAGGAAGGGCCGGCAGGUCCGCCCACCACGUGGCACAGGCAAGGCCACCCCGUGCAGAGGACAUGGGACCAGUCACCCUAAUCCCCAGGGAGAAAAGUGAAAUAUUUUAUUCGGGGGGUAAGCUGACAAAAAUACUCAUCUGCGAUAGGGGAAUGGGGCCACGGCUGCACUGCCAGUGUCCCCCGAGGCAGCGUAGGUCGCUGGGGUCAUGAAGAGCUUGGCCUCACUUGGACACAGUCCUUGGAGAAAAGAAUGAGAGGUCAGAGCCAGGAGUGGCUGCGAGGGGCGGGGGACAGGCUCCGUCAGGUCCAAGGUCCUCCUCCAAGCCAGCACCCGGCCCCCCACCCCGGGUGGACCCCCGGGGAGGGGGUCACCCCACCCCCUGACUCCACCACCCCAGGAUGGAUGCUAGGGGUGCUGAGCCCCAAAACCAUGUAGAGAGAACUCUUGUUUGGUCUCCGUGGAGUGUGACAGACGUGUCAGAAACACUCAAAGGGUCGAGGGUGCGACUGGACAAGUGAGGGGGCGGAGAGGGAGAAAGAGCAGGACUGAGAGGGAGAUGCAAGGACCAAAAACCAUCCGAGGGGCAGAAACACACCAGGCUGUGGCCCUGACUCUGCCGGGCCCCAACUCCACAUCAGGGCGCCCUGACUCCCACUUCCCUCUCUGUUCCACCCGUGCACAGGCAGUGAGUGCAGGAACGAAAGGGCCAGAGAGACGCCAAACGGGGGAGCAGGGCCUGUCCUCUGGGGACGGAGCCGUCCUGGAGGGCUCCCAGGCUGUUGCUCCAAGUGCCCGUGGACUAGCCAGAAGUAAAUACAAACAAUCAGGUUCUUUAAAUACCCAGUUCACAGCAGCCGUCACUCGUGGAAACAAUCAGCACAAAAUAUGUAAGCAAGCACGGAGGAAGGCUGGUUCCCGUGCGAAAACUGGUCCUGAUAGAAAUUACAGUCCCCAAGGCAAAAGGACAGCAGCAUUAGCUGUAAUUGGAACUGAUUCUGAUGAAGUCAUUUCAGCAAAAUUAAAAGGAAAGUGAUUGUUUUUAAAAC
rnacentral:lncRNA from 1 species